CCUACCCUGACUCUCUCUGUUCUCUCUCUUUCACUCCUAACUCUGUUUUCUGUGUGUGUGUGUGUGUGUGUGUGCGUGUGUGUGUGUGUGUGUUUGCGUCUCUCUCUCUCUCUCUCUUCUUCUCUCUCUGUCUCUCCACCUCUCUCUCUCACCAGACAUUGGCAGGGCAAAGGAGAUCACUGUUGCCAGGAGAUUGUUUGCAUUCCCGGGUCUUUCUGGCAAGGCCUUCCUCUGAGUGGAGUCGAGUUGUGGAGCCUGGCAAGUCCAAGAUAAAGGAGCCAGCAGAUCCAGUGUCUGGCGAGAGGUUACUUCCUGCUUGCUUGUUUUGAUGAACAAGUGAUCACUCGGAGGCCCACAUAGACAGGAACUGAUGGCAGCCUCCAGCCAACAGUCAGUAAAAAAAGUGAGGCCCACAGUCCAACAGGCACAGGAAACUGAAUCCUGCCAACAACCAUGUGAGCUUAGAGGUGGAUACUUACCACUCAGCUUUCAGACGAGACCUCAGCCCUGGUUGACACUUUGAUUGCAGCCUCAUGAAAGACCUUGAAGCACCACCCCCAGUUAAGUCCUGCCUGGAUCCCUGACCCACAGACUGUGAGAUAAUAAAUAAAUCUGCUGAGAGUGAUAUGAUUAUGAUGUUAAUGGUUUGGGACCUUGAAGCCCCCAAACCACAAGGGCAUAAUAACCUGACUUGGAGGAGAAAAUCCUGCCCUGGCUGGAAGCCAAGGGGACAGCUGACAAGGAACACAGCCUGGUCUUGCACAUUUGCCACUGGCUUCCUGCUCUGCUCCAUGGCAUCCUGCUCUGCUGACCACCCACUCUGGAAGACCAGCCUCACUGCCCAUCUCCAGGCACUGCUGCUGACUGUGAGUGAUCAUUGUCUCCUCUCCCCAACCCUGACUGUGAGUGAUCAUUUUCUCCUCUCCCCAACCCUAACUGCUAAGCUGUGCCAGAGGUUAGGCAUUGAUUUAUGGCUUGUUUGCUGUUAAAACUAGCCCACAUAAAAAGGAAAGCAAUUUAAAUAGUACCUUGCUGUGAAAGUUUUUAUCCUUUCUUAACAUUUCUCUUGGACAAAAGAACUGUGAGAUUAA
rnacentral:lncRNA from 10 species